AAGUUUGGCCCGAAUGGCUAUAAAUGAAUUUUGCUCUUAAUUCUUCUUAAUUUAAAGCAAAGAGCUAAGCACCAAUACUUGGAUUGGAUCCAACAAGCACGAGGGCAGCCCAACAGCCCACUAGUACCUAGAUUUGGCCCAAAUAUAUUUUACCCGAGUCAGCAAACCCUCCUCAAUUCUGACUUUUCGUUUCUUCAUUCUCAAAACAGUCGUAGAAGGAGAAGAUCUCGAAUCGCUUCACAAAGGGCUCCGAAGCCCAAAGAAAAACCAAAGGCAUCAGCUGCUACCGUAGCUAUAUCCAUUGAAGAUCUCUUCACUUCGCUCAAUCGCUACAUCCAACGAUCCGAAUAUGAACAAGCCGUCAAAGUUUCUGAUCAAAUUAUUGCGUCUGCGCCUGGAGAUGAGGACGCGAUACGGUGUAAAGUGGUGGCGUUAGUGAAAGUCGAUUGACUUCUAGUAAUGGGAAAUCUGAGAGAAGUCAGCACUCCUGAUCUUCUCUACUGGGAUAUUAGCCAUUUCAUAAGCUUAUUUUCAGUACCAAAUGACUAUAGUCAACAAUGGAGGCACUGAGUGAUUUGUCAAAUGAAUUAUUAAUUUUUGAUAGUUACUAGUUGGGAAGUAGUGUUGA